AAUGAACGCUGGCGGCGUGCUUGACACAUGCAAGUCGAACGAGAAAGUUUUCUUCGGAAAACGAGUAAAGUGGCGCACGGGUGAGUAACGCGUGAAUAAUCUACCCCUGAAUUUGGGAUAACAGUUCGAAAGGGCUGCUAAUACCGGAUAACAUUGUCUUUUUUACGGAUUAGACAAUCAAAGAGGGCCUCUCCUUGGAAGCUUUUGUUUGGGGAUGAGUUCGCGUCCCAUUAGUUAGUUGGUAAGGUAACGGCUUACCAAGACAUCGAUGGGUAGCUGGUCUGAGAGGAUGAUCAGCCACACUGGAACUGACACACGGUCCAGACUCCUACGGGAGGCAGCAGUGAGGAAUUUUGCGCAAUGGGCGAAAGCCUGACGCAGCAACGCCGCGUGAGUGAUGAAGGCUCUUGGGUCGUAAAGCUCUGUCAAGUGGGAAGAAACCUCUUGGAGUUAAUACCUUCAAGAAUUGACGGUACCACUGAAGGAAGCACCGGCUAACUCCGUG
rnacentral:rRNA from 1 species